UACGGAGGGGGCGAGCGUUAUUCGGAAUUAUUGGGCGUAAAGGGCGCGUAGGCGGCCUUGCAAGUCAAAGGUGAAAUCCCUCGGCUCAACUGAGGAACUGCCUUUGAAACUGCACGGCUUGAGGCCGGGAGGGGGUAGCGGAAUUCCCAGUGUAGCGGUGAAAUGCGUAGAUAUUGGGAGGAACACCAGUGGCGAAGGCGGCUACCUGGACCGGUUCUGACGCUGAUGCGCGAAAGCGUGGGUAGCAAACAGG
rnacentral:rRNA from 1 species